rnacentral:rRNA from 1 species
UACAGAGGGUGCAAGCGUUAAUCGGAAUUACUGGGCGUAAAGGGUGCGUAGGUGGUUAUGUAAGUUGGGUGUGAAAUUCCUGGGCUCAACCUGGGGACUGCGCUCAAUACUGCGUAGCUAGAGUACUGUAGAGGAAGGUGGAAUUUCCAGUGUAGCGGUGAAAUGCGUAGAUAUUGGAAGGAACAUCAGUGGCGAAGGCGACUUUCUGGACAGAUACUGACACUGAGGCACGAAAGCGUGGGGAGCAAACGGG